rnacentral:ncRNA from 1 species
GUGUUGUCGGAAAGGUGAGAAGGUUAGCACUCCCCUUGACUAAGAUGGAAGAGGCCCUCGGGGUGUUACAUAAAAAUCGUACGACGCACAUAUAAUUAAGGAUUGCCCUCUACUUCGUGGCAUCUAACCAUUUUUUUUU